CCUACGGGUGGCUGCAGUGGGGAAUAUUGGACAAUGGGCGAAAGCCUGAUCCAGCCAUGCCGCGUGUGUGAAGAAGGCCUUCGGGUUGUAAAGCACUUUCAGUGGGGAAGAAAGCCUUGGGGCUAAUACCCUCGAGGAAGGACAUCACCCACAGAAGAAGCACCGGCUAACUCCGUGCCAGCAGCCGCGGUAAUACGGAGGGUGCGAGCGUUAAUCGGAAUUACUGGGCGUAAAGCGCGCGUAGGCGGUCUGAUAAGCCGGUUGUGAAAGCCCCGGGCUCAACCUGGGAACGGCAUCCGGAACUGUCAGGCUAGAGUGCAGGAGAGGAAGGUAGAAUUCCCGGUGUAGCGGUGAAAUGCGUAGAGAUCGGGAGGAAUACCAGUGGCGAAGGCGGCCUUCUGGACUGACACUGACGCUGAGGUGCGAAAGCGUGGGUAGCAAACAGGAUUAGAUACCCUGGUGUC
rnacentral:rRNA from 1 species